rnacentral:rRNA from 1 species
AUUGAACGCUGGCGGCAGGCCUAACACAUGCAAGUCGAGCGGAUGAAGGGAGCUUGCUCCUGGAUUCAGCGGCGGACGGGUGAGUAAUGCCUAGGAAUCUGCCUGGUAGUGGGGGAUAACGUCCGGAAACGGGCGCUAAUACCGCAUACGUCCUGAGGGAGAAAGUGGGGGAUCUUCGGACCUCACGCUAUCAGAUGAGCCUAGGUCGGAUUAGCUAGUUGGUGGGGUAAAGGCCUACCAAGGCGACGAUCCGUAACUGGUCUGAGAGGAUGAUCAGGCACACUGGAACUGAGACACGGUCCAGACUCCUACGGGAGGCAGCAGUGGGGAAUAUUGGACAAUGGGCGAAAGCCUGAUCCAGCCAUGCCGCGUGUGUGAAGAAGGUCUUCGGAUUGUAAAGCACUUUAAGUUGGGAGGAAGGGCAGUAAGUUAAUACCUUGCUGUUUUGACGUUACCAACAGAAUAAGCAACGGCUAACUUCGUG